UUGGUUAUAAAGUGUUAUAACGCUAACAAAGUAUAACCUUAUAACACUGUGAACAGAUGAAAUCAUUCCAUGUGUCACGCGGUUACAAAUUAGAUUUUAUAGCAGAUAAUUAAACAUAUAAUAUUCUUCCGCAGCGAAAAAGCGAAAUUCUGUAAAAUUUUAUGUCAAUUCAUGUAAAUGAUGAAUCUUUUUAUCGCUUACUCUUUAUUAUAUAGUCAAAGAAGCUGCGAAACAAAGUGAAGGAUUCGACGUUUGCGAAUGGAAAGACGUGUCACAGGAAGGAAUAAAAGAAUAGUGAAGAAGGAAAAAGAGGAUUGCGAUCAAAGAGAGGAAGGGUAGAAGUGGUUGGCAGCCGAUCCGUCUCCGACAUGUCUGAUUGUUCCCUUAACGAUCGGCUGACAGGGAAGACGUAUGUCGGUGCCAUCAGAUAAUGCGACCGGCGUUGAUGUGUACGCGGCCCAUGGUACGCGUAAGCGUUUUGUAAACGCUUCGCACGUCUCCAUGGUGGCGUUCGUUCAGCGACAUCUUCAUAACGUUCUGGACAAAAAGACUGUCAUGUUGCGUCGCGUUGUUGCGUCAUGGCCCACGAACAUCGAUUCAAUCGAUUCAAAAAUUCUCGUAUCUGAUGUUCCACCUUUUUAUCUUUUUAAUUAUUCAACGUUCAUCGUCAAUAUUCUUAUUGAACAAAUUUUCUUCAAGUUCUUUAAGAUCUAUUUGAUCUUGAUCGAAUAAUAUGAAAUAAUAUGAAAAUCUUUGGGUUACAGGUUCGUGUUUGAGAGAAAAGAGCAAUUUUGAGGCACGUUUUAUUUCAUGCUGAUGACGAGAAAAAUCGAAUGGUGUAAUUUUUAUGGAAAUUUAAUAAGAAGAUGAUUAUUUAAUUACGUCCUUAUAGCCUGUUCUCGAUCACUUUUUUAAAAAUAAGUUAACCUAUUUCAUAUUUUAUACCUUGUUCGACCGUUCGCGGAGAGACGCGAUCUCGAGGAAGCGCGUCGACAGGAAUCUUAAAUUCUCGUUACGAUUAUACAAUCGACGCCACGAAAUGAUCGAUCCCCUAUUUCGUUUAGGAUAAUAGAGGUAGUUGAAUUGAUUAUAACACUGAGUUAACAAAUUACAAUUUACACUUUAUUUCAACAACUUGUAGACAUAGACAGUUACGCUCGGUGCUUAUAGAUAUAAGUUAAACAGAUGACUGAUCUAAAUCAGAUAUAGACAGUGAAGAGAUGUUGACUGAUCCGAAGAUGAUGAAUCAGUGAAGUUCGGUGACGAUGCUGUCGAAGAGGAAAACUAUCGCUGGAUGUUGGUCGCUCCACCACCGGUCGCGUGCGGGUGGAAAUGACCGUCGAACAAGGGAAAAACCCGACUUUCUCAUUUUUUAUCUGAUGGAACAAUAGCCAUAAGGAACCUCUUGAGUCGAAGGUGUUUUAUACCAAUUAACGGCCUUAACGCGAGUGGUCGCGUUGACCGAGGGAUGAAUUCUGAUUGAUGUAAAGAGUCACCGGACGUAACAUAUCUACUAUUCUGAUAGUAUUUCGUGAACAUAAGAGCCUCGGAUACUCGUGGUCUUCCAAAGCGCACAAAGAUAAGCCGCUCUUCAAACAUGUGCACGUUUCCUGUACUUCUGCAACACCACGCUGCUUCGUCGCUACUAGAUCAAAAGAACGAUCGAAUGAAAUUGUCUCCUACUGGCUUGCUUCGUUAACUAAAUAAAAAUUCAGUGGUGCUGAAACGUGGUCACAUACUAAGAAAGAUACUAAUAGGCGUUCUAUUAUACGAUUAAGUUACCUAAAUGCUGCACGCGAAUUCAUUCGCAAUGAUGCACGGUUCCAGUCGAUGAACCCUUGUUGAACUUUCUGUUCGUGUACAGUGUUCACGCGCCAUCGUCGUGUUUAACAAGCCGUUGACGAGUCGUAUGAACACGUUUCCCUUCGACGAGCGUGCACGUGUUCCUUGGGAUCCUGGUGCUGGCGUGCGAGUUUGACGCACCACUUUUAAAACGGAUUGACGCGCGUCGGUUUCCCGCUAAUGGCAGGGUUCGCAUAAACGCACAGACACACCGCGAUAAGGCCAAUUUGACGGAUCGUUUCGCGUAGCCGACGAGCUGCCACCAUGUUGUUUGUCUGUGAAUAUGAGACGAUAUGACGAAUCCAAAUAGACGGCCGAGAAAUGGAAAGUUAGAAUUUUCUGACGGUCGUUAUCGUUAGAAGACAUCGGAAAUUAAUCGCGCGUUAUGCAAUCAGAUUAUGUCCUUUGCGAAAUGUCAAAGUACCAGAAGUAUCGCAUAUUAAGGAAAAAAAGUAACUGUAAAACCAGCUUAAGAUUUUUCAUUCUCGUACAAAUAUACAAGGCGCAAGAGAUGAAAUCAGAUUUAGCAGUAUGAAGAAGGAAAGGAUAUUUCAAACACGAUAUACUUUGUUCCUUUAACCCUUUGCACUCCGAAUUUUGUUUCAAUUUCGUUAGCAGCAGCUUCCAACGUUUUUAAGUGUUUAUUUGAAAUUUACUUUAACUAAAAAAUAAGACAAUUUAAAUAAAUAAGGAUGCAAUCCUGCUUUUCCUUCGCACUCGACGAAGCAGCUCCUGAGCUAAAAACUAAUGUCGAGUCACACUCGACAUAGGAGUGCAAAGCGUUAAUACAAAGCACACGUGACAACAAAUGCACGCACGUAGCCUAACAAUCAUGCACAUCGGAUACCCGUGAAAGUGCAAGUUACAAACUCAAAAGAAGAACGAAGAAAGUGGAACAGGGGCUCGAACGAAGAAGAAAAGAUCCAUCGAGCCAUGUGGCAGGCGCAAACGCUCCCACACCGGAGGCAGUAACGAGCCAUCAAGUCUGCCGGUAAUCGAAUGCCAACUGCGGUCUUGUGUUUGCUCUAACGCCUUCGCGAGAAACAUGAAGCUAACUAAUCGCUAUCUACGCUUACGUGUCUCUGAGGAAAUACUACUUUCACUUCUAAAUUUAUGCAUAUAUGUCGUCCAAUUGACAUUCGUUGCUUGUUUUUCUGUAUUUUAAUCGAAUUUAAAGACUUUUUCCACGGAACGGCUAGAAUCUGGUCGAGAAACGUUAAGACCGAUUUUAAUCAUAAAUAUGAUAAUAUUUUUCGAACGUUUCGAAUAUACAACUAUGGAUAAAAUUAUUUACUAAAUUAUUAAGAGUAGAUACAUAAUAUUGCUAAAAAUUACGGGCUCAAAGUGGUGUAAGUCAGUUCAUUGUUACUGUUUAUAAAACGAUGCUCUACGUUUAUUGUCAUAAAAAUUCGUUCUAUUUUCCAAGUCAUGAAGACGUAUUGUAACAGAGGAUGAAGUUAUACCUUAAUGAAUUACGAAACUAAAUGGACGAUAUCUGUAAGAGUUGUGAUACGUAAUUAAAUUAAAGUUUAUCAAAUUUUCUCUUCAAUC